GCAGUGGUGGUUCAGUAGUAGAAUUCUCACCUUCCAUGUGGGAGACUGGGCUUUGAUUCCUGGCCAAUGCA
rnacentral:tRNA from 1 species